rnacentral:lncRNA from 1 species
ACUAGUUGACCAAAUCAGUAGGUUCCAAGGUUAAAAGUUUAAAAUUUUUAUUGUUUGAACUUGCUGAAAUUUCAUUUGUUUAUGUGACAAGCCCAACUUUGAUGGAUAAACAAUGUCCAAGGGAGGCAGGUUGUCUAUUGGUUCAUCAAUGAAACGAUAAUUAUAGGAGACUAGUAAUUAGAAUAGUAUUAUAUGUACUUAAUA